GCUGCUAACGUGCUCCUGCUUUUAUUUAAUUAAUUAGCAGCAGGGGGAGGAUCUGGAUCACAGUUGUGCUGCUGGAGUAAGAGGAAACAGGACGUUCUCUCGGUGCUGGAGCUGCUCUCAGGUGCUCGCCAAGUGGGGACAGCAGGUGGGAGCUUUCCAAGCCAGACAAAGGAGACCUGACAAGGAACUGUGGUGAAGGGACAAGCUCAAGGCAAGGAAGUGUCCGGUCACCUCCUCUCCUGGAGCAGGCAGCAGAGACCUGGAGAGACAGGAGACAUCUUGCAAGACUCAACACCUGGAGCAGUGCUAACCAGGUGGCAGCCCUGAUGGCAGCCAAGCUCUGGGUGCUGAUCAGCUGGCCCGAUGGCAGCCGGGUCAUCAGCAUGGAGAACAUCAAGGAGCCCCGCAAGCCCUUCCACCUCUACACCGUGGGGGAGCAGGUCCUGGCCCGUUGCCCCGGCUUCAGUGGGCUGUACUGGGGCGUGGUGGAAGGCAUAAGUGAGCAUAAAGAUAUUUUGGAGAAGAAGCUGCUGGAAGAUCGACAGCUCCUGGAGAAGUUAAAAGAAGAACCAGCUGUCCAGAGCAUGAUGCCAUCCCCACCAAAAAAAUCCAGGAAAACCUUUCCGAAAUGCACCCCAGGGAAUGCAUCCAGGAAAUACCCCAGUGACAGGACCUAUCCUGCAAAGCCACUGCUGAGGGUGGCUGAGGCCAGCCUGCCCCACGGUGCCAGCAGCUGCUCCAUCCUCAAGGACAGGCGUGUCCUGGGGAGCGUGGCAGGGAGCCCCCACCCAGCCAGCGCCUUCACACCCCCUCCCUCCUUCAUCACCAUGGCCAUGCCAGGGCCAGCAGCUUCCCAGAGUGAAGAGGACAGGGCUGGUCCAGCUGCCAGAGAUUACGUUGCCCUUCCAAUGAAGAGGAAGUCAGAUGGCAUCUUGUCCCCGUGCCAGCAGCAGAUCUGCCUGAACAGCCGUGAAGAGCGAAAGAUGGAUGUUUUGCAAGAGAUGGAUGGCUUCGAGAGGGCUCACAAAAAUUUCAGUCCUGGUGAGGUGGAAAGGGCAGAGAAGAUGGAGCAGCUGGAGAGGAUGGUGUCAGACCUCCAGCAGGACGUGCUGUCUCUGAAGAAGAAGGUGCAGAGGCUGGAAUCCCUGUCCUUCCAGGAGGAGCCCCACCGACAGCAGUGUGAGGUGGUGGAGCUCUUCAACGGCUACACCAAGGAGCAGCUCAAGGAGACCAUCAGGUUUGACCAGAAAAUCAGCACAGCCUGCAAGACUCUGCUCUACAAACUCUUCACCUCUGACUACAUCCAGAGCCACUCCAUCACAGGGCGCAGGGGCAACACCUUCCGCGAGGCAAAGCCCAUGAUGGAUGAACGCUGCAUCAAAAUCAUCAGGGUGCUGCUGAAGCAGAAGUUUGGGGAUCACCUCAGUGACACUGUGAUCACAGAGAAGAUCCAGAACGUGCAGAAAGCCCUGAGGCAGAAGUUUAAGACAGAAUGUCUCUGAGGUCUGGGGGUGUCUCCUGAGCAGCCUUCCCAGCAGAGAUGAGCUGAACAGCUGCUGCUCAGUGGAUUUCCCCCAGGGAGCCAGCCCGAGUGAGCCAUGUGCUGGACACAGCUCAAGCACUGCCGAACCUCUGCCUGCAGUAACUGAACAGCAGUCUGGCCCAGCUGGGCUCGGCUGUUGCACUCUGUAAGUUCCUUCAGCUGCAGUCUGUGUGCAAACCUCGCUGUGGGUGCACAGAAUCACCUCUGUGACGCUGAUGAUGUUCUCAGAGGCUUCAGGGCUCCAUUUGAGCCCAUGAAUGGGCCAGGAAGGUAGCACUGUUCCACACAGAAAUGUUUGCUUUGGGAGAGGGAGUCCAGCUGCAGACAGGCUGUGUCACCCAAUGUGGCUUCUCUCUGUCUGCCUCUGGUUGCCUCAUUCUGCCUGUGGGACAGCAUUUACUCUUUCUUCACAGUGAAUACUUUAUUUCCAGCAGGAACAGAAAGGCAGGCUCAUUAAAAUGACACCUUACAACAUUCAGAAAAAGAUAACUUGAUUUUUUCCUGUCUAUUUUACUGUAGCCAUAUGGAAGAGUUGUCUUUCCCAACGAAAGCCUUCUGAACAAGAGAAGGGGUCACCCAUGGAGGUUAUAUUAAUUUUCCUUCCAAGGUCAGAUUAUUAGGAGAAAUAUAUACAGGAGAAAUCCCUUACAUUUUUAUGACACAAGAGUGAGGGAUGGAGGACAAAAUAUGGGCCAACUUCACUUCAAAAAUAAACAUAUUGUGGACACUGUCACUACUAUUCAAAGACAGUAAUUUUAUCCUAGAUGAGAAAUGCCAAAUGCAACUAGACACUUUGCUCAGAGACUAUAGAAAAGGUCUAGAAAGACACAUCUUUUCCUAAAUAAUUCAGAGCUGGAGUGUGGGUUGGUUAAAAUUGUUCUAAGCGUUGAAAGAAUGAGAUGCUGACAUCAGUCCAGCACUUGACAGAAGUGCUGCAAAAUACCAAACAUUCCCUUUUACAGAGGCUUCUCAGACAAGAAAUUGUUUUUCUCAUCUUAAUUUUUAAAUUAUUCAGGAAAAGAAAUGCCAAUGGGUUUGCAUUAAUCAAAACAUGUGGUUUAAUUUAGAUGUUUUGGUGUGUUUUCAAGUACUUAAUUUCUUCAUGAGAAAUAAUGCAAAAUAAAUGUAUUGGAGAAACAAGGAACUGUUUUGAAAGGGGAAAAGGAAGGUAUUAUUCUCAGAAUUUUCCUCCACCUUCUGCCUUUUUUUUUUGAGCUAAUCCAUUAAAGUUGGGUUAAUGCUGUGA
rnacentral:lncRNA from 12 species